rnacentral:misc_RNA from 1 species
GAUGAAGAACGCAGCGAAAUGCGAUACGUAGUGUGAAUUGCAGAAUUCAGUGAAUCAUCGAAUCUUUGAACGCACAUUGCACCUCUCGGUAUUCCGGGAGGUAUGCCUGUUCGAGAGUCAUUUGUACCCUCAAGCUCUGCUUGGUGUUGGGUGUUUGUUCCGCCUCUGUGUGUGAACUCGCCUCAAAACAAUUGGCAGCCGGCGUACUUGUUUCGGAGCGCAGCACAUUUUGCGAUCCAGAUCAACGUACAGCGGCAUCCAAGAAGCCUUAUUUAACGCUCUUGACCUCGGAUCAGGUAGGGAUACCCGCUGAACUUAAGCAUAUCAAUAAGCGGAGGA